GGUCAAAACAAAGUGCCCAACAGAAUCUUCUUCCAGAUUGCUGGGAAAUUCUCCAGGUGCUGUCAAGAAGCCUACUGGAUCCCACAAACAUCUGAGACAAGCCAUCUUACUGACCCCUUCUUACCAACAGAGAUAUCAACAAUAUCUUCAACACAGUCAUUCCAGCAUAACUGAGAACAAUUGAAAAAGAGAAAUUACAAGCUCUACUCUGACCACAAUCCUGUCUGCAGUCAGAAGGAG